rfam:Sorghum bicolor cultivar BTx623 chromosome 9, whole genome shotgun sequence.
UUGUAAUACGAACCGGUGCUAAAGGGUCUCUGCCCCGACAGCACCUGUCAGUAGCCGGUGGGCAGGACCCUUUAGCAUCGUUUCGUGUUACAAA